AGUGAACGCUGGCGGUAGGCCUAACACAUGCAAGUCGAACGGCAGCACAGUAAGAGCUUGCUCUUACGGGUGGCGAGUGGCGGACGGGUGAGGAAUACAUCGGAAUCUACUUUUUCGUGGGGGAUAACGUAGGGAAACUUACGCUAAUACCGCAUACGACCUACGGGUGAAAGCAGGGGAUCUUCGGACCUUGCGCGAUUGAAUGAGCCGAUGUCGGAUUAGCUAGUUGGCGGGGUAAAGGCCCACCAAGGCGACGAUCCGUAGCUGGUCUGAGAGGAUGAUCAGCCACACUGGAACUGAGACACGGUCCAGACUCCUACGGGAGGCGGAAGUGGGGAAUAUUGGACAAUGGGCGCAAGCCUGAUCCAGCCAUACCGCGUGGGUGAAGAAGGCCUUCGGGUUGUAAAGCCCUUUUGUUGGGAAAGAAAAGCAGCAGGUUAAUACCCCGCUGUUCUGACGGUACCCAAAGAAUAAGCACCGGCUAACUUCGUG
rnacentral:rRNA from 1 species